UAGUGAGCAGGAUAAAUGAACUGUCUUUGUUUUGACUGGGGGUUUAUUAGUGAGCAGGAUAAAUGAACUGUCUUUGUUUUGACUGGGGAGUUUAUUAGUGAGCAGGAUAAACCAGGUCAAACCUGAACGACGCCGGAGCCAAUUGUGCGCCGCCCCACGAUACUCCCAAUCACGGCCGGAUGUGAUACAGCCUGGAUUCGAACCAGGAGCUCUCAGUACAAGCUGUUGCCAACAAAGAAACAAACUCAAGAGUCAAAACAGGGAACCCGCCCAUAGAAGACAGAACAGUGGAUGGAAGAGCGCGAGAGAGAGUGAAGAGGACGGAGGUUAAGAUACAGGGGCUGGUCAACAGAUCUGGACCACCCUGGCCUGGAUUCUCAGUAUGAGAAUUGCC